rnacentral:rRNA from 1 species
CGGCUGUCCGCCGAUUAAAGUGGCACGCGAGCUGGGUUUAGAACGUCGUAAGACAGUUCGGUCCCUAUCUGGUAUGGGCGUAGGAUAUUUGAGAGACGCUGCCCCUAGUAUGAGAAGACCGGGGUGGAUGUACCUCUAGUGAACCAGUUGUCACGCCAGUGGCACCGCUGGGUAGCUAUGUGCAGAACGGAGAAACGCUGAAAGCAUCUAAGCGUGAAACCAUCCUCAAGAUAAGAUAUCCCACAACGUUAAGUUGGUAAGGCUCCUUCGAGAUAAGAAGGUUGAUAGGCCAGGUGUGUACGCCGUGUGAGCGGCUCAGCUAACUGGUACUAAUAAGCCGAGGGCUUGAUAAUUCCU